ACUCUCUCCCUUCUCAUCAGAGAGUGGAGCUUGAUCUCCUUUCCCUGGGAGCUGAGCUUGAGCUGAGAGGCUUGAGUCUGAUCCUGUGGGAGUCAAGCCAUGAUUCAUUGCAUGGGUGUUCUGCCCUCAGUUGAGCACUGGCUGAUGGAUUGAGCUGUCUAGAAAAGACCCUCACUGAAAAUGAUCUUCCUCAUCCAAACCAGUCUCCCUACUGAAUUUCAUCUGGGAAUUUUCUGCUGUAAUGCCCAAACCAAGACGUAACAGGAAUAGAGAAGAAGGAGGCAAGAAAAAAGUAUCUGCCACGUGACCCAAGAAUGUCGGUUUAUCAGAAGUAUGUACUGAAGGCCUGCUACAUGGAGAUCACUGUGUUAGUUGCUUGGGAGAGGACAGUAGAAUUAGUAGAUCUUAUCUGAAUUAGUAGACCUUAUCCCUGCCCUGCAUUGUGUAGCAGUAAGAUUAACAGUCAUUCCAAAAGUGGGGAUGGCUGUGGAUGUGAUGUGAAUGAGAAUGGGAAUAAUAAUAAAAGCAAUAGUUAAGUGCU